rnacentral:rRNA from 1 species
GACGAACGCUGGCGGCGUGCUUAACACAUGCAAGUCGAACGGAAAGGCCCUGCUUUUGUGGGGUGCUCGAGUGGCGAACGGGUGAGUAACACGUGAGUAACCUGCCCUUGACUUUGGGAUAACUUCAGGAAACUGGGGCUAAUACCGGAUAGGAGCUCCUGCUGCAUGGGGGGGGUUGGAAAGUUUCGGCGGUUGGGGAUGGACUCGCGGCUUAUCAGCUUGUUGGUGGGGUAGUGGCUUACCAAGGCUUUGACGGGUAGCCGGCCUGAGAGGGUGACCGGCCACAUUGGGACUGCGAGACGCACCAGACUCCUACCGGAGGCAGCAGUGGGGAAUAUUGCACAAUGGGCGGAAGCCUGAUGCAGCAACGCCGCGUGCGGGAUGACGGCCUUCGGGUUGUAAACCGCUGUCGCCUGUGACGAAGCGUGAGUGACGGUAAUGGGUAAAGAAGCACCGGCUAACUACGUG